rnacentral:misc_RNA from 1 species
AACGCAUCUUGCGCCCCCUGGUGUUCCUGGGGGCAUGCCUGUUUGAGUGUCAUUUCUCACUCUCGGUCACCCGUUUUUUUGGCGGUCUGACCGGAUGAUGAAGGCUGCUGACCCCUCAGCUCCUUUGAAAUGCAUGAGCAGAAGAAACGAGCCCUGUCAGCUUCGGUUUGAUAGCUUUUCUGAACCGUUGCCGAUGUCGUCCUUGCUGCUGCUUGUCUCUUAGUCGAGACUGUCCGCCGUUUGCGCAGGCAACGCCCUUUUCAACCAUGACCUCAAAUCAGGUAGGAUUACCCGCUGAACUUAA